GAACGGUAUCGUAAUACCUGAUGACUUUGGUCGUCUUAGACGUCCUAGCUGUUCCUGCAAUGGAACGGGACCAGAAAUCAGACUGAAAUCGGAGCUCAGGUUGAGCCGUUC
rnacentral:ncRNA from 1 species